AGAGUUUGAUCCUGGCUCAGGAUGAACGCUAGCUACAGGCUUGACACAUGCAAGUCCGAGGGGCAGCAUCAUCAAAGCUUGCUUUGAUGGAUGGCGACCGGCGCACGGGUGAGUAACACGUAUCCAACCUGCCGACAACACUGGGAUAGCCUUUCGAAAGAAAGAUUAAUACCGGAUGGCAUAGUUUUCCCGCAUGGGAUAAUUAUUAAAGAAUUUCGGUUGUCGAUGGGGAUGCGUUCCAUUAGGCAGUUGGCGGGGUAACGGCCCACCAAACCAACGAUGGAUAGGGGUUCUGAGAGGAAGGUCCCCCACAUUGGAACUGAGACACGGUCCAAACUCCUACGGGAGGCAGCAGUGAGGAAUAUUGGUCAAUGGACGAGAGUCUGAACCAGCCAAGUAGCGUGAAGGAUGACUGCCCUAUGGGUUGUAAACUUCUUUUAUACGGGAAUAAAGUUAGCCACGUGUGGCUUUUUGUAUGUACCGUAUGAAUAAGGAUCGGCUAACUCCGUGCCAGCAGCCGCGGUAAUACGGAGGAUCCGAGCGUUAUCCGGAUUUAUUGGGUUUAAAGGGAGCGUAGGCGGGUUGUUAAGUCAGUUGUGAAAGUUUGCGGCUCAACCGUAAAAUUGCAGUUGAUACUGGUGACCUUGAGUGCAACAGAGGUAGGCGGAAUUCGUGGUGUAGCGGUGAAAUGCUUAGAUAUCACGAAGAACUCCGAUUGCGAAGGCAGCUUACUGGAUUGUAACUGACGCUGAUGCUCGAAAGUGUGGGUAUCAAACAGGAUUAGAUACCCUGGUAGUCCACACAGUAAACGAUGACAUACUCGCUGUUGGCGCAUAUACGGUCAGCGGCCAAGCGAAAGCAUUAAGUAUUCCA
rnacentral:rRNA from 1 species